CCAAGGCAAAACACGCUAAACAUUUUUUGGCUGCUGCAGUAGCUCAGCUCAGCUCAGCUCAUUCAGUUCAGCUCGCUCAGCUCAGCUCCGCUCCGGACCGGACUCAGCUGCCAAGCUAUAAGAUGGAGUCAUGAAAUGUGACGGGACAGCCACCGAGGACUUCAUACUUCGGAGCAUCUCAAACAUGCACCACAAAGACGUGGAGGACACACCGCUGUCUCUCAGGACCUAGAAUCUUAAUGAAAGUAUAAUGAUGUUAAGGGAAGGUGUAAUGGAAAGGUGUAAUGUAAAGUUGUAAUGGUGUUAAGGGAAGGUGUAGUGGAAAGGUGUGAUAGUGUUGAGGGAAGGGGUAAUGUUAAAGGUGUAAUAGUGUUGAGGGAAGGUGUAAUAGUGUUGAGGGAAGGGGUAAUGUUAAAGGUGUAAUAGUGUUGAGGGAAGGUGUAAUGUUAAAGGUGUAAUAGUGUUAAGGGAAGGUAUAAUAUUGUUAAGGGAAGGUGUAAUGCAGGGGUCUCAAACUCAUUUUUGCCGAGGGCCACAUUGACAUAUUGGCUGUCCUCUGAGGGCCAGAUGUAACUUACAAAUAUAAGAAAAUGUAACCAGAUGUAAUAUAAAAUGAAUGUAAUUACUCCUUAAUGUUAAAUAACUCUCAAUAUACUAUUUAUUCAAUCAAAUAUUACAGUUGCAUGGAAAAAUGUUUGCUUGUUGCUCUAUUAACAUAAAUCCUUUUAAUUUGUCAUGUUAUGAAAUCCAAAAACUCCAUCAAUCAAGAACCAAACUAUUCAAGUGAAUAGAAAUUACAUCAAGUACAAGUUAUAUUAACUUUGAUCAAAACGUUUGAUACUGAAAUAAGGCUUAAUAAAUAUAAAAUCAAAAAUUGUGAGCUGUGACAGAUUUAGCAUUUCCUCAGAUUUAGCAGUUCCUCAUCCAACCACUAGUCGGAGCUGCAGCUGCAGCACCACAAGCCCGCAGUCUUUACUGAGUCAGAGCUACAGCCCAGCCACGGGCUACAGGACUCAGCUGAGCCAGUCUGGAGCGUUUUUAAAAUUUUAAGUUCUUCUGUGUAUGAAAUAAAAUAACCCCACUAACCGGAUAAUACAGCUCUCUACAGUUCAUCUUUCAGCCCAAGCAGCUAACAGCAGCAGUUUAGAGCAGCGUCACGGAGGCACUGCUGGGAUUACAUUAUAAACAGGUCAGUUAGCGCGCUGCUAACCUCAGGAUGUUUAUAACUACGGAGUUUAGUGGACACACCACGGCAGCAAGGUUAGACUGUUGAAGGCUACUGAACACUAUUAAAGCAGGCAACGCAGCGUAAGCAAAAAAAAAAAAAAAAACACACACACACACACCAAAAUACAAGUUAAGAUAAAAUAUGAAAACGAACGUAAUAAAGCAUAAAUAAUUAAAUUGAAUUGCGGGCCAGAUGUAUGUUUAUUUUGUUAACCCGUGAGGGGCCGUAUGAAACCGCGUGGGCCGGUACUUUGAGACCCCUGGUGUAAUGUAAAGGUGUAAUAGUGUUGAGGGAAGGUAUAAUAUUGUUAAGGGAAGGUGUAAUAGUUUUGAGGGAAGGUGUAAUAGUGUUGAGGGAAGGUGUAAUGUUAAAGGUGUAAUAGUGUUGAGGGAAGGUAUAAUAUUGUUAAGGGAAGGUGUAAUGUUAAAGGUGUAAUAGUGUUGAGGGAAGGUAAAUGUUUAGUGAAAUUGUUAUGGUGUGAAUCUAAGGUGUAUGUUAUGUUGAUGUAAAAUAAAGGCAUUAACCCCAAA